ACCAACCCACAGCCAGGGACAUGCAGAUCCAGUUAACGCUCAUCGUGUCUGUCAUGUAUUUCUCCUGUGGCGGGUCAGCUCAAUCCUUGACUCAGGCCAAGCUCUCUGUCAGCAGGGCGCGCACAAAAGUCGCCCGUUUUCGGUGCAUCUUGGAGAAUGUGGAUCUGGUGAGUGGGACCGUGCACUGGUACCGCCACACCCCGAGCCAGGGCUUCCACCGCAUUCUCUACGUGACAGGAGCCCGACCAAUUUACGACGGCGAUUUCGCCGACAGAUUCACAUCCGAAAACGUGGCGAAAGAGAAAAGCAGUCUGCUUGACCUAACAAACAUCGCGGAUAGCGACGCUGGAGUUUAUUACUGUGCCGUCUGGGGUGAACACGGUGAUAUAUGACCGUGGAACAGCCCGACAAAUACUCCGCACAUCGAGAGCUCUCCUCCCAGACGACGGAACAGGGUCCAGUGAAC